rnacentral:tRNA from 1 species
AUUUAAAUAGUUUAUUAAAAAUAUUGAUUUGUGGAGUCAAAGAAACAAAAUAUUGUUUUAAAUA